rnacentral:rRNA from 1 species
GACGAACGCUGGCGGCGUGCUUAACACAUGCAAGUCGAACGAAGUGGCGAAAGGGUGAGUAAUAAGGGGGUAACCUGACCUCCUUUUUGGGAUAAGCCUUGGAAACGUGGUCUAAUACCUAAUAAAGGGGGAUGGGCUCGCGGCCUAUCAGCUUGUUGUUGGCGGGAUGGGCUACCAAGGCGGUGACGGGUAGCCGGCCUGAGCGGGGGAACGGACACAUUGGAACUGAGAUACGGCCCAGAAUCGUACGGGUGGAGGCAGUGGGGGAAAUUGCGGAAGGGGCGAAAGACUGAGGCAGCGACGCCUCGGGGGGGAGGAAGGUUUUAGGGUUGUAAACCUCUUUCGCAAUCGAACGGGUAGGUGGAGAAGAAGCGCCGGCUAACUACGUGCCAGCAGCCGCGGUAAUAC